rnacentral:rRNA from 1 species
GAUGAACGCUAGCGGCGUGCCUAAUACAUGCAAGUCGAGCGAACAGAUAAGGAGCUUGCUCCUUUGACGUUAGCGGCGGACGGGUGAGUAACACGUGGGUAACCUACCUAUAAGACUGGGAUAACUUCGGGAAACCGGAGCCAAUACCGGAUAAUAUUUCGAACCGCAUGGUUCGAUAGUGGAAGAUGGUUUUGCUAUCACUUAUAGAUGGACCCGCGCCGUAUUAGCUAGUUGGUAAGGUAACGGCUUACCAAGGCGACGAUACGUAGCCGACCUGAGAGGGUGAUCGGCCACACUGGAACUGAGACACGGUCCAGACUCCUACGGGAGGCAGCAGUAGGGAAUCUUCCGCAAUGGGCGAAAGCCUGACGGAGCAACGCCGCGUGAGUGAUGAAGGUCUUCGGAUCGUAAAACUCUGUUAUUAGGGAAGAACAUACGUGUAAGUAACUGUGCACGUCUUGACGGUACCUAAUCAGAAAGCCACGGCUAACUACGUG